AUUGAACGAUGGCGGGAGGAAGAACACAUGCAAGUCGAGCGGAUGAAGGGAGCUUGCUCCUGAAUUCAGCGGCGGACGGGUGAGUAAUGCCUAGGAAUCUGCCUGGUAGUGGGGGAUAACGUCCGGAAACGGGCGCUAAUACCGCAUACGUCCUGAGGGAGAAAGUGGGGGAUCUUCGGACCUCACGCUAUCAGAUGAGCCUAGGUCGGAUUAGCUAGUUGGUGGGGUAAAGGCCUACCAAGGCGACGAUCCGUAACUGGUCUGAAAGGAUGAUCAGUCACACUGGAACUGAGCCACGGUCCAGCCUCCUACGGGAGGCAGCAGUGGGGAUUAUUGGACAAUGGGGGAAAGCCUGCUCCAGCCCUGCCGCGUGUGUGAAAAAGUUCUUCGGAUUGUAAAGCACUUUAAGUUGGGAGGAAGGGCAGUAAGUUAAUACCUUGCUGUUUUGACGUUACCUACAGAAUAAGCACCGGCUAACUUCGUG
rnacentral:rRNA from 1 species